GACUAGGGUAGUCCUAGUGAGGAGUCACAGGACUAAUUGAGUUGAGCACGAUUCGGAUGAUCUCAUCAGGGUUGACAGUUUAACCCUGAGUCAUCCUAAACACAGGGGUCAAAAGGGAUGAAUUAUACGGUAAUCAUAUUCACGUAGGUUCUGAAUGUUGCGAUUGCGACUAUUCGACCUAUUCGAAUGUCAGGUACCAUUACUAGAUGGUCACUUCGAUUAGUACAGGAAUUGGUUCCUGUGCUACCGGCUUAGGUUCGAACCUGCGGGGUCACACACAUUAGAGG
rnacentral:lncRNA from 1 species